rfam:Parcubacteria bacterium GW2011_GWB1_50_9 TY60_C0011, whole genome shotgun sequence.
GGAGGCGUGGCCGAGUGGCUUAAGGCAGCAUCCUGCUAAGAUGUUAAGGGAGAAAUCCUUUCGAAGGUUCGAAUCCUUCCGCCUCCG